ACGCAUGGGCGACGAGGCUGAAAGUGUACUAUCUGCUCUCCUCAGCCUAAUAUGUGAUACGGGCUGUAUUUGGACCUCAGGUAUUAAACUUAUUUUGCAAAUUGGCGGAAUGCCUAAAGCCUGCUUCACCUCCACCGCGGGUCGGCCCUGUAUUGCAAUAUGUUCGGGAUCGGCCCACGAUUU